rnacentral:lncRNA from 1 species
ACAGUUCUUAACGGCCGCGCGUCCAGAGUCUGUUCCUUCUGAUGUUCGGAUGUGUUCGGAGUUUCUUCCUUCUGGUGGGUUCGUGGUCUCGCUGGCUCGGGAGUGAAGCUGCAGACGUUUGCGAGAAAUCUAAAUACAUGACCACAGUUUGAGCUCCUGUCUGAAGAGAUUUUUUAAAGGCUGUUUUCUCAUUAAAGCUGGGAUUUUCAUCAUGCUGAGUUCAGAGGAACUCGUGAGUUAUGACAAAAAGAUAUUAUGACUCCCAUGCAGCGGAUGAAGACAUUGAUGCCCAUGAAAGACCAAAAGUAACAAAACAACAACAGAAAACCAGGGGGGGCGCGGUGGCUCACGCCUGUAAUCCCGGCACUUUGGGAGGCCAAGGUGAGUGGAUCAGGAGGUCAGGAGAUCAAGACCAUCCUGGCUAACACGGUGAAACCCCGUCCCCAGUAAAAAUACAAAAAAUUAUCCAGGUGUGGUGGCGGGUGCCUGUAGUCCCAGCUACUCAGGAGGAUGAGGCAAGAGAAUGGCGUGAACCUGGGAGGCAGAGCUUGCAGUGAGCCGAGAUCGCGCCACUGCACGCCAGCCUG